GCAUGAGCCAAAAGGAAAAAGCAUGGCAGCAUGUUACAUUGCACUAAAGCCCGCAAGAUUCAUCUAAUUUUCGCUGAUCGUGAAUUGUCUUCCCAAGCUGUGCAAAACAGCAAGAAGCCACCUCCUCCACCGCCACCGCCACCACUUCAGAUCUCUUCAGCAACCUUUGAAUCACUAGUUUGUCUUGCCUUAUAAGCACAAAAACAUAUAUAUAUCGAUAUAUACUAAGUGUUGGAGAGAGAAUCAGGCUGUAAAAUUGGGAAAGAUCAUAAAGAUGGGUCGCAAAAAUGGGGGCUUUUGCCAGAGGAACAAAACGGGGCCUCAACUUCGGCGAACAAUGCUCUGGUAUUCAUUACUAUGUCCAUCAUUGGCUUUCCAGUGGAUGUGCAUGUGAAGGAUGGCUCGAUUUAUUCUGGAACUUUCCACACUGCUUCUAUCGACGAUGCCUAUGGUAUUGUUUUGAAGAAAGCAAGGAUGAUUAAGAAGGGCAAUCGACAGACAAAUCUAGCUGAUGGAAGUCUGAUAGAGACACUUAUAAUUCUGUCAGAAGAUCUUGUUCAAGUUGUUGCAAAGGAAUUAAUGCUACCAGCAGAAGGUAUCUCUGGAAAAGUUGGAGCAGCUAAUGUUGCGGCUACAGCUGGCACUUUGCCUCAGAAUGUACGUGAAGAGAGGGAGGCAAAUGUAACAAACUCUAAAGAACCCAACUUGGACAGAAAGCAUGCGAGGUUUAUCAGUCCAUAUAAGAAUAGCUUUCAGAAUGGUUCUGUUCACAAUAAUUCUGUGCCAAUUGCAAAUGGAAAAUCAGACUGCAGAAACUUGGUCAAGGGGGGAGAGGCUUUCACUGUUUCACCUAAUAUGAGACAGGUUGGAGACAGCUCAGAGGAAAAACGGAGUGAUCUAGUGCAGGAGCAAGUUUUGCAUGGGGAGGAAACGACUGAUCAAGUUGAAGGCUCAAGAUCAAGCUUAGAUGCUCAUUCCAAGGACAUGAAUGCUGGAACAAACAAAGGGGAAUCACCAAAUCUGAUGUCUUUUGAAAGAUCUACUGUGGCCAAACUUGAUGAUCCAAGUAAUCUGAGGCACACAUUAGAUAAAGCUCAGGAGACAACUGCUCUUUCCUCCAAAGUUUGUGCUGAUGCUUCCUCUGGUUUCGGUGUUGCCUCAGAUUGUAACCUCAGUUUGUCAUCUGCUUCCACUAAAGUGGUGCUUCCAAAAGUUGCAAAUCAUGGUCUAACCACUAAGGAAUCUAAGCUCAACCCAAGAGCAAAGUUGUUUUCUCCAUCACCUUUGCAACAUAGAUCAGCGACCCUCCUGCAGUGCCAUCGCGCACACCAGAACCCCCACCCACGGUAUCAAAUGCACCUGCAGAUCCAGAAGCUGAUUUGAGUUCCUUUGCCUAUUGUUCUUCUGUACCUGCUAAGUUUCUUACGCGUAAUAACCUGUUUCUGGGAAAUGGCUGGAGUGAUCUACAAUAUGUCCAGCCUGUUGUUGGACAUGUGGGAAGCAGGACACCUCCAGUUAGAUAUGCCAAUCAGUAUAAUCAUCUUCAAGCUGGGACAACGUAUCUGCAUCAAAAUUCGCAAAA